rnacentral:rRNA from 1 species
UACGAAGGGGGCUAGCGUUGCUCGGAAUCACUGGGCGUAAAGCGCACGUAGGCGGAUCUUUAAGUCAGGGGUGAAAUCCUGGAGCUCAACUCCAGAACUGCCUUUGAUACUGGGGAUCUCGAGUCCGGGAGAGGUGAGUGGAACUCCGAGUGUAGAGGUGAAAUUCGUAGAUAUUCGGAAGAACACCAGUGGCGAAGGCGGCUCUCUGGUCCGGUACUGACGCUGAGGUGCGAAAGCGUGGGGAGCAAACAGG